rnacentral:rRNA from 1 species
UGAGGAAUAUUGGUCAAUGGACGAAAGUCUGAACCAGCCAUGCCGCGUGAAGGAAUAAGGCCCUAUGGGUCGUAAACUUCUUUUGUAUGUGAGCAAUAAGGUCCACGUGUGGACCGAUGAGAGUAGCAUACGAAUAAGCAUCGGCUAACUCCGUGCCAGCAGCCGCGGUAAUACGGAGGAUGCAAGCGUUAUCCGGAUUCAUUGGGUUUAAAGGGUGCGUAGGCGGCUUGGUAAGUCAGCGGUGAAAUUCCAGUGCUCAACAUUGGCCGUGCCGUUGAUACUGCUGGGCUUGAAUGCGGAUGCCGUGGGAGGAAUGUGUGGUGUGGCGGUGAAAUGCAUAGAUAUCGCGCAGAACUCCGAUUGCGAAGGCAGCUUUCCAUGUCGUGAC